GUCCCAGCAAGUAUUUUACCCAGGUUUUAACCAUUAUUUCAUCUUUGCCCUCUCUGUCCGAAGCGGUGUACAGGUUCGAGUUGGAUUUUUUCGAUAGCUUCGCGUGGAAUCUGAAGCACUGUAAGGAGGAACUCUCUAACUACAGAUUCAGGAACUUCUUCUUCUUUCUCUUGGAUACCAGUGCUCUACAUAACUACGUUCAGUCAGUCCGCCAUUACCUGUAUCAGCAUAGGAGUUGGCAAGACAACACAGACAGAUCUGGGACCAGGCUAUCCUACUGUACUACGAGACCCACCUUCUUAUGGCUCUCCUUGAGUAAACCUACAAGAAACAUACCUUGGAGUGGAACUCGUCAAUGGGCACUUGAUGGGUGCUGAUGUCCCUGGUGUCGACCUUGACGUGGCUGAGCCCCUGCUCCCUGAACUGCAGCUCCGGCUUGGUGUUGGCCUCAUACAGGGUGGCAACCCUCUCCAGGUAUGUAUCCAGGUGCUCCUCUGCCUCCUCCAGCUCCACCAUCCAUGGAGAAGCCACUGAAGAUCAUCCCUCCAUCACCUCAAGAGCCAAAGCCCCCACCCAUGGAGGUGAAUCAGCCCCCACCAGCAGAGGAGGAGGCUGUAGUGGAGUAGAUGCGAAUCCACUUACCUCUGGUCCCUGUGUACACACUUCCAGACCUCCCGGAAAUUAUGGACAUGCCCAUAUCAGAGCAUGAGGAGUUGAAGCUCCCCAUGGAGGCUCCUGAGCUUAGCCUGACUCCAAUGCUAGAGAAGCUGUGGCUGCGAAUGGAGAACGUGACCAUAAUGACAUCAGAGACUGCAAGCAGGGUGCAGUUGUGGUCUCUCUGUGAAACACUGUUAUUAAUGGGCAUGUGGAAUGUGCUGACUGGGGUCUGCCUUGAGCCAUCUCAGUAUUUUCAUGUUCACGAUCACAGGGUCUCUCUCUCUCUCUCUCUCUCUCUCUCUCUCUCUCUCUCUCUCUCU